GCGAACUCGUCCAAGUUGCUUCGGCGGCGCGGCCUCCCUCACGGGGGCGCCGCAGCCCCGCCUCUCCGGAGGUGUGGGGCGCCCGCCGGAGGUACGAAACUCUGUAUUAUAGUGGCAUCUCUGAGUAAAAAACAAAUAAGUUAAAACUUUCAACAACGGAUCUCUUGGUUCUGGCAUCGAUGAAGAACGCAGCGAAAUGCGAUAAGUAAUGUGAAUUGCAGAAUUCAGUGAAUCAUCGAAUCUUUGAACGCACAUUGCGCCCGCUAGUACUCUAGCGGGCAUGCCUGUUCGAGCGUCAUUUCAACCCUCAAGCCCUGCUUGGUGUUGGGGCCCUACGGCUGCCGUAGGCCCUGAAAGGAAGUGGCGGGCUCGCUACAACUCCGAGCGUAGUAAUUCAUUAUCUCGCUAGGGACGUUGCGGCGCGCUCCUGCCGUUAAAGACCAUCUUUAACUCAAGGUUGACCUCGGAUCAGGUAGGAAUACCCGCUGAACUUAAG
rnacentral:rRNA from 1 species